GGCAGCACGGGAGAGCGACCCGUCAGCUGGCAGUCAAGGCACCCUUGGCAUGAGCGAUGUCAGGGGUUGCUUUCUGCGCUUAUCAAAAAUCUGAAGACAUUUGGUGCAUUUGCGUAAGAGGUUUGUAACGCGCCGAACGUGUUUAAGCGGAUACUGCAUCGCUUGGGGAGGACUAGUUCCUCCUCGCAGUUCCGUGGCCCCA
rnacentral:sRNA from 17 species